CCCUUAGAUGUUCUGGGCUGCACGAGUGCUACACUGAUAUUGCCAAUAUGUCAUUCUUAUCCGAAAUGGAUUGGGUAAUCAAGUAAUGAAAUUUCAUGCUUGGAAUCGGUAAUUGCAAUUUUAUCGUGAACGAGGAAUUCCUAGUAAGCACUAGUCAUCAGCUAAUGUUGAUUAUGUCCCUGCCCUUUGUACACACCGCCCGUCGCUACUACUGAUUGGGUGUUCAAGUGAGAUGCUUAGACCCUUGUUGCAUGGUUCAUUAUUGUGCUCCGAAAGGAAAAAGUUUCAAGCUUGAGUGUCUAGAGGAAGUAAAAGUCGUAACA
rnacentral:rRNA from 1 species